CCAGGUUAUGCAAUGCUUAUGCCUCAAGAAAUUGACCCACAAAACAUUUUAUAUGGUUUUUCCCCCCAAAAGGUAAUGGAUUCAUUGAAGCCUUUUAAACAGGCAGAGUUAAAUAAAAAAAUGGAUGUGGCCCAAAAAAAAAUUAGCUACACAAGCCCAGAACAUCCAGCCUAAAAAAGGCCCAAAUACAAAACAGGAAAAUCCUAGUUUCUGACAAUUACAAAAGCAGUACAGAAGAUGAUCCAACUCUCUCAAGAAAAGGUAACACGUCACCGCUCAAGGGACGCAUAGCUCAUGGAUCCCCCCAAACAAUAACCACGCAAGGCUGAUCUGAGCAGACUACAGUGAAGCAGAAGCCUCAAACCAAGUCGUCUUACCCAAACUGAGCCCAUAGUAGGAGAAAAGUUUAGAGAAACAGAGGAGCUAUAAACCAUGGUCGGCCAGUGCAGACAGCAAAGGCAUCAUUUGCAGCCAACCGAGGGUGAGGGUAGAGGUCCAUAGCAUCUCAGAGCCUUUAGGGUCACUAUCAGUGGCUAAGCCGGUACACGACCCCGGAGACACCACUAUACAGGUGAAACCCUCUCACAGAUGAAUCAACUCGCGAAGGAGGAGCAGGUCUUCCGGAUCCCUCACCAAGCAAGUCGAACCUCCAACACAUAACCAACAAAACUCAGAAACACAUGUAUACAACCUUGGUCAGAGAUGGGGAGGGAAUAGCCCAUACUUCGAGCAAGAGGAAUAGAGCCACUCCUAAUCAUUCAUUAAUAAAAGCAACUAUUCUUCUACAUCAUCUUUUUUCUCCCCAUCUCCCGCAUAUUUAUUGUUGUUAAUGGUUAUUGUGGAUCGGAUUGUAAAAGUGACUUCGUUUAAUUAAUUCAAUCCUACCACGGAUAUGUUUAUGAUAUAGGUUAUAUGGCACAACCCAUAAACUUGUUUCAAUUUAAUCAAGACAUGCUAACACAUAUAAACUAUAUAUACGCGCUAUUCACAACCAACGUGAGAUCUUGAAGGACCAGCUCUUUAUGCGGGGGACCACAUGUACGCGACUCGUGUGUGGAGGGUAACCCACACAUACACCAGCUCACCCCUCUCGAGUACUUUAAUUUUUUUUCAAUUUUUUUUUAAAAGAUUUAUACACGCAUAUAGGUGGUUUAGUGACAAAACACACAUUUUGGUAAAACUAAGACAAUUUUACCAAGACAUGCUAACUUAUAUAAACCACCA
rnacentral:misc_RNA from 1 species